rnacentral:lncRNA from 1 species
CGAGAGACAAGCAUAUUCUGGUAUCUCUGAUUCAGAAUCUAUGUUUCUGGAUGCAGCUAGAGGCACAGUGGUAAACUUCUCAGCACCUUGGUAUUCUAAGAUGAUGUCACCCUUCUGUGGAUGGAUGAAUUAACUACCAGGAUACCUACUCAGAGUUUAAGAGCAUCCCGUAAAAGGAGAUCCCAGAAGGCCAUCGGUGAAGAAUGUGCCUGCUACUGUUGUGUGUGGGCAUCAGGGUCUUAGUGAUGACGUGGGGAACAGGAGGAAGAGAUCCUUUCCCAGUUUUCUACACUGUCCUGGAGGCUUAUGCUGCUUGGGAUGGCUGAGGAGAUACAUUCAUACACAGUUUUCAGCUACAGUGAGUGAUGUCCACCUUGAAAGAGUCUUGGACUCUGGAGAAUAAUGUGCACUGGACAUUCUUGAUGUGGUAAAGAUCGAUGUGUGCUCAAUCUCACGUGGGAACAGCCAGAAGACACCGAAAGGAAGAGUUGCACAAACCCAACGAUCAGUGGAUAUAAACACCUUGAAAGCCACUCACGAGACAAACAUCGAACAGCCAGGAUUCUGGUAGAAGUCACUCCACUCAGCACAUCCUGCGCACAGAAACCUUACUCUCCUCGGCCAAGUCUUACAAUCGUGAAUUUACUUCCUUCACAUUUGCUUCUGGAGGGUGGAGGGAGGCCCAUAAGGUUCAGUAAAGAAAGGAAACUUACAGGAGUGAACAGACUCAUAGGGGCUAAGCAAGCUCUUUAGAAUUAACAAAAGUCACAAGUCUCCUCCCCAAAGUUAUGUAUUGAGUAAUGAUUGCUA